AGUGGAUGGGGAGCAACCUAGUUGUGAGUGUGGAAAGGUAGUGCCAAGAAAAGCUGUCAGAAUGAUGAGAAUUGAGUCCCGGUACCCGAAACCGACACAGGUAGGCAAGUAGAGAAUACCAAGGGGCGCGAGGUAACUCUCUCCAAGGAACUCGGCAAAAUGACCCCGUAACUUAGGGAGAAGGGGUGCCACCGAGAGGUGGUCGCAGUGAAGAGGCCCAGGCGACUGUUUAGCAAAAACAUAGGUCUCUGCAAACUCGAAAGAGGAAGUAUAGGGGCUGACGCCUGCCCAGUGCCGGAAGGUUAAAGAAGUUGGUCAGGAGAAAUCUGAAGCUGGCGACUGAAGCCCCGGUGAACGGCGGCCGUAACUAUAACGGUCCUAAGGUAGCGAAAUUCCUUGUCGGGUAAGUUCCGACCCGCACGAAAGGCGUAACGAUCUGGGCGCUGUCUCGGAGAGAGGCUCGGCGAAAUAGGAUUGUCUGUGAAGAUACGGACUACCUGCAUUUGGACAGAAAGACCCUAUGAAGCUUUACUGUAGCUUGAAAUUGUGUUCGGGCUUCCUGUGCGCAGGAUAGGUGGGAGGCGAGGAAGGUCUGCUUGUGGGCAGAUUGGAGCCAACCGUGAGAUACCACUCUCAGGAGGCUAGAAUUCUAACUUAAUUAAGGACAGUUUCAGGUGGGCAGUUUGACUGGGGCGGUCGCCUCCAAAAAGGUAACGGAGGCGUACAAAGGUUCCCUCACACUGGUUGGAAAUCAGUGGCAGAGUGCAAAGGCAGAAGGGAGCUUGACUGCGAGACGGACAAGUCGAGCAGGGUGGAAACACGGUCUUAGUGAUCCGACGGUGCUGUGUGGAAGGGCCGUCGCUCAACGGAUAAAAGUUACUCUAGGAUAACAGGCUGAUCUCCCCCAAGAGUUCACAUCGACGGGGAGGUUUGGCACCUCGAUGUCGGCUCAUCGCAACCUGGGGCGGAAGUACGUCCCAAGGGUUGGGCUGUUCGCCCAUUAAAGCGGUACGUGAGCUGGGUUCAGAACGUUGUGAGACAGUUCGGUCCAUAUCCGAUGUAGGCGUGAGAAUAUUGAGAGGAGCCUUCCUUAGUACGAGAGGACCGGGAAGGACGCACCGCUGGUGUACCUGUUAUGAUGCCAAUCGUAAACGCAGGGUAGCCAAGUGCGGAGAGGAUAACCGCUGAAAGCAUCUAAGUGGGAAGCCCACCUCAAGAUGAGUAUUCUGGUGUAAGGUCACGGGGAGACGACCCGUAGAUAGGCACGAGGUGGAAGUGCAGAGAUGUAUGAAGCCGAAGUGUACUAAUAGACCGUCGGCUUGACC
rnacentral:rRNA from 1 species